AUUGAACGCUGGCGGCAUGCCUUACACAUGCAAGUCGAACGGCAGCACGGGUGCUUGCACCUGGUGGCGAGUGGCGAACGGGUGAGUAAUAUAUCGGAACGUACCUUAUUGUGGGGGAUAACGCAGCGAAAGCUGUGCUAAUACCGCAUAAUCCCUAAGGGGGAAAGCGGGGGACCGUAAGGCCUCGCGCAAUUAGAGCGGCCGAUACCUGAUUAGCUAGUUGGUGAGGUAAAGGCUCACCAAGGCAACGAUCAGUAGCUGGUCUGAGAGGACGAUCAGCCACACUGGGACUGAGACACGGCCCAGACUACUACGGGAGGCAGCAGUGGUGAAUUUUGGACAAUGGGGGCAACCCUGAUCCAGCAAUGCCGCGUGAGUGAAGAAGGCCUUCGGGUUGUAAAGCUCUUUUGUCAGGGAAGAAACAGCAGCUCUAACACAGUAUGCGAAUGACGGUACCUGCAGAAUAAGCACCGGCUAACUACGUGCCAGCAGCCGCGGUAA
rnacentral:rRNA from 1 species